rnacentral:misc_RNA from 1 species
AACUGAUACUACCUGCGGGAACCUGCGGAGGGAUCAUUACCACGCGAUCCAAAUCCACAUCCCAAAUCGUAUCUCUUCGGAGUGCGAUGCGAACUUGAGUUGUUUCAACUCAAAGCGCGCGCCUCGACAACUCAGGCCGUGGGGAGUUGCAGCGGCUUCGUCCGCAGCAACUCCGUCGAGGUUAUUCAGCCGCGCUCUACAAAUCCCAACCUCACGCGCCGCAAACACAAACCACAAAAC